CAUUAGAUAGCUAAAAGUUAGCCUUGGUCUCUUAAACCAUCUUAUAGUAAUUCACGCCUACUUCUAAUGA
rnacentral:tRNA from 1 species